AUUGAACGCUGGCGGCAGGCCUAACACAUGCAAGUCGAGCGGAUGAAGGGAGCUUGCUCCUGGAUUCAGCGGCGGACGGGUGAGUAAUGCAUAGGAAUCUGCCUGGUAGUGGGGGAUAACGUCCGGAAACGGGCGCUAAUACCGCAUACGUCCUGAGGGAGAAAGUGGGGGAUCUUCGGACCUCACGCUAUCAGAUGAGCCUAGGUCGGAUUAGCUAGUUGGUGGGGUAAAGGCCUACCAAGGCGACGAUCCGUAACUGGUCUGAGAGGAUGAUCAGUCACACUGGAACUGAGACACGGUCCAGACUCCUACGGGAGGCAGCAGUGGGGAAUAUUGGACAAUGGGCGAAAGCCUGAUCCAGCCAUGCCGCGUGUGUGAAGAAGGUCUUCGGAUUGUAAAACACUGUAAGUUGGGAGGAAGGGCAGUAAGUUAAUACCUUGCUGUUUUGACGUUACCAACAGAAUAAGCACCGGCUAACUUCGUG
rnacentral:rRNA from 1 species